rnacentral:rRNA from 1 species
GUACAGAGGGUGACAAGCGUUUAAGUCGGAAAUUACUGGGCGUAAAGCGUGCGCAGGCGGUUAUAUAAGACAGUUGUGAAAUCCCCGGGCUCACGUGGACUGCAUCUGUGACUGUAUAGCUAGAGUACGGUAGAGGGGGAUGGAAUCCGCGUGUAGCAGUGAAAUGCGUAGAUAUGCGGAGGAACACCGAUGGCGAAGGCAAUCCCCUGGACCUGUACGUGACGCUCAUGCGACGAAAGGCGUGGGAGCAAACGAGG